AGUUAGGUAGCCUAGUGAUUAAGGCAGCCCAUGUAUGUUGGGUUUGGAUCCAUUGGAUCUGAUUGCUGGUUUGAAUCCAGCCCCAACCA